UACAGAGGUGGCAAGCGUUGUUCGGAAUUACUGGGCGUAAAGGGCGCGUAGGCGGCCUUCUAAGUCAGACGUGAAAUCCCCCGGCUUAACCUGGGAACUGCGUCUAAUACUGGCAGUCUCGAGUGCGGGAGAGGUGAGUGGAAUUCCCAGUGUAGAGGUGAAAUUCGUAGAUAUUCGGAAGAACACCAGUGGCGAAGGCGGCUCACUGGGCCGGUACUGACGCUGAGGAGCGAAAGCGUGGGGAGCGAACAGG
rnacentral:rRNA from 1 species